UCAAACUUGGUCAUUUAGAGGAAGUAAAAGUCGUAACAAGGUUUCCGUAGGUGAACCUGCGGAAGGAUCAUUAUUGAAUACCACUUGAUGAGUUGUAGCUGGCUCUCUGGAGCAUGUGCACGCUUGUCUUGUAUUCUAUUCAUCCACCUGUGCACCAUUUGUAGUCUUUGAAGGAUCAGGGGAAAACAGUCAGAGGUUUGCAGUAGUGUUACCGCUCUGCUCUCUUCAAAAAGUUGUGAACACCUUCCUUUGGGGUCUAUGUUUAUUACUUAUAAACGAAUGUUAUUGAAUGUGUAUAUCAUGGCCUUUGUGCCUAUAAAAUCUUAUACAACUUUCAGCAACGGAUCUCUUGGCUCUCGCAUCGAUGAAGAACGCAGC
rnacentral:misc_RNA from 1 species